CAGUCGCCGCGGUAAUACGUAGGUGGCAAGCGUUGUCCGGAAUUAUUGGGCGUAAAGGGCUCGCAGGCGGUUUCUUAAGUCUGAUGUGAAAGCCCCCGGCUCAACCGGGGAGGGUCAUUGGAAGCUGGGAAACUUGAGUGCAGAAGAGGAGAGUGGAAUUCCACGUGUAGCGGUGAAAUGCGUAGAGAUGUGGAGGAACACCAGUGGCGAAGGCGACUCUCUGGUCUGUAACUGACGCUGAGGAGCGAAAGCGUGGGGAGCGAACAGGAUUAGAUACCCGCGUAGUCCCUGUCUCUUAUAC
rnacentral:rRNA from 1 species